rnacentral:rRNA from 1 species
GGUCAAGCUAUUAAGGGCACAUGGGGGAUGUCUUGGCGUUAGAAGAAUGAGCGUGGAAGUCUGCGAAAAGCUUGGGGGAGUUGACAAACGAGCGUCGAUCCCAAGAUCCUCAAUAAAACCCAGGGAACUGAAACAUCUAAGUACCUGGAGGAGUAGAAAGAAAAAUCGAUUCCGUAAGUAGCGGCGAGCGAAAGCGGAAUAGCCCAAACCGCGAAGGUUUCCUUUGCGGGGUUGUAGGGCUACUCAUAUGGGAGUUACAAAGCUUCACUUAGCCGAAUGGCAUGGAAUGGCCAACCACAGAGGGUGACAGUCCUGUAGGCGACAAGUGCAAGUCUCUCGAGUAGUUCCUGAGUAGGUCGGGUCACGUGAAACCCUGACUGAAUCCACGGGGACCAUCCCGUAAGGCUAAAUACUCUCUAACGACCGAUAGUGAACCCAGUAGGGCGACCGAAAGAUGGAAAGAACCCCGAUAAGGGGAGGUAUUGAACCUGAAACCAUGUGCCUACAAGCGGUCGGAGCACGUUAAUGUGUGACGGCGUGCCUUUUGCAUAAUGAUCCGGCGACUUACGGUUUAUGGCUUGGUUAAGACCUUACGGGUCGAAGCCACAGGGAAACCAAGUGUUAAUAGCGCGAAAGUGUCAUAGGUCGUAGACGCGAAACUGCGUGAUCUACCCAUGAGCAGGUUGAAGCAAGGGUUACACUUUGUGGAGGACCGAACCCACUUGGGUUGAAAACCGAGGGGAUGACUUGUGGGGAGGAGUGAAAGUCUAAUCAAACGCAGAGAUAGCUCGUUCUCUCCGAAAUAGCUUUUGGGCUAGCCUCGUGCCACUAUUUGUUGGGGGUAGAGAGACUGAUUCGGAUGGGGGUCCUUCCCGGGAUACCUCACUGAGCCAAACUCCGAAUACCGACAAAAUUAUCACGGGAGUCAGUCCGCGAGGGAUAAGCUUCGCGGACGAGAGGGAAACAACCCAGAUCACCGGCUAAGGUCCCUAAUUCAUACUAAGUCACUAAGGAAGUUAGUUUGCAGUGACAGCCAGGAUGUUGGCUUAGAAGCAGCCACCAUUUAAAAAGUGCGUAACAGCUUACUGGUCGAGCAAACUUGCGCCGAUAAUGAACGGGAGUAAGUAUGAAACCGAAGCCGUGGGUUCCAAUUUAUUGGAGCGGUAGGAGAGCGCUGUAUGGGAGAUACAAGGCCGACGGAAACGACGGUUGCCGGCCCAUACAGGUGAUUAUGCCGGAAUGAGUAACGAUAAAACAGGUGAGAAUCCUGUUCGCCGAAAACCUAAGGUUUCCUGGGGAAGGUAAUUCCGCCCAGGGUUAGGCGGUACCUUAGUCGAGGCCGAAAGGCGUAGACGAUGGACAGCAGGUUAAUAUUCCUGCCCCAGUGUGUGGACUGAUGGAGGGACGGCGUCCAGAUAACAAUCAGACGAAUAGAAAUGUCUGUGGAGGUUGCUGAGUUGGCGAGGGUUAAAAGACUCGCGUAAUACAAGGCGACUAACCGACCUUCGGGGAAGUUGUUGGAAGGACGUCCAAGAAAAGCUUCUAGGGUUGAAGCACACUGACCGUACUAAAACUGACACAGGUAGGUGAGUCGAGUAGACUAAGGCGCUCGGGAGAACGGUGGUUAAGGAACUCUGCAAAAUGACCCCGUAAGUUCGCGAUAAGGGGUGCCUGCGCAAGCAGGCCACAGUAAAUCGGUUCCAGCGACUGUUUAUCAAAAACACAGGACUCUGCUAACACGCAAGUGGAUGUAUAGAGUCUGACGCCUGCCCGGUGCUGGUAGGUUAAGGAAGUAGGUUAGCCUUCGGGUAAAGCUUGCGACCGAAGCCCCAGUAAACGGCGGCCGUAACUAUGACGGUCCUAAGGUAGAAACGCUGCCUCCCUGGCGAGUAAUCGUCAGGUAAACUCUUGGCUGUAUGCGGGAAAACCCUUAGAGCCCAUCUCUACGAUUCCAGGAUUCAGAAAUGAGUCGCUGGCGUAACAAUGAGUGGGAUUGGACAAUCCGCAGGAAAUUCGAGUGGUUGGUUUGGCCUUGGGCCAGAGCAAUGGCUUGAAGCUCCUCAGAGACUACACGCCGAGUAUCCUUAACCAAAUAUAUUAGCCAUGGAAUUAUCCCCUGAAUGGGUUGUCGGAUUUGUUGACGGAGAAGGUUGCUUCCUCGUCAGCAUUGUCGAACAGCCCGAAGAUAAAGUUCAGUACAAGGUGCUGGCUGAAUUCGCAGUGGUUCAACACCGACGCGAUGUUCAAGUCCUGCAGGCUUUGAAGCGGUUCUUUAAAGGGGGAGUCGUCCGAGUCAAUCAUGACGACCGCCUUUGUUUCCGAGUUCGCAAACUCGAGACAUUGGUACAAGUUUGUUCGUUCUUUCAGCGGUAUCCGCUGAAAACGAAAAAGCAGGUCGAUUUCGUUAAGUUUCGAAAAGUGAUUGCUGUGAUGGAUUCCGGUGAGCAUCUGACAAUCGAUGGGCUUCGCAAGGUGAUUGGAUUGGCAAAAUCCAUGAUCCACGCGGAUGCGAGUCGUUUCCAGAAUGUUUUGGCAAGUUUGGGUGAAGGAUAAAGAUAUAGUCCACGCACCUGCGAAAGCAGACAUGCAUAAUUUCGUGAGCGAAAUUCCUUGUCGGGUAAGUUCCGACCUGCAUGAAAGGCGUAACGACUGGAACACUGUCUCAACCACCGACCCGGUGAAAUUGUAGUCGUGGUGAAGAUGCCACGUACCCGCGGUUAGACGGAAAGACCCCGUGAACCUUGACUGUAGGCUGAUAUUGGGCUGAGAUAUAACAUGUGCAGGAUAGGUGGGAGGCGUUGAACUGGAUGCGUCAGCAUUCAGGGAGCCAACCUUGAGAUACCACCCUUGGUGUGUUUUAGUUCUAACUUCGAUCCAGUGAAUCCUGGCGAAGGACAUUGUCAUGUGGGCAGUUUGGCUGGGGCGGUCUCCUCCAAAAGAGUAACGGAGGAGCGCAAUGGUACUCUCAGUGUGGUCGGUAAUCACACGUCGAGCGUAAAGGUAGAAGAGUGCUUAACUGCGAGACUUAUCAGUCGAGCAGAUACGAAAGUAGGCCUUAGUGAUCCGGUGAUUCCGAAUGGAAGGGUCAUCGCUCAUCAGAUAAAAGGUACUCCGGGGAUAACAGGCUUAUCGCUCCCGAGCGUCCAUAGCGGCGGAGCGGUUUGGCACCUCGAUGUCGGCUCAUCACAUCCUGGGGGUGUAGAAGCUCCCAAGGGUUUGGCUGUUCGCCAAUGAAAGUGGUACGUGAGCUGGGUUCAGACCGUCGUGAGACAGGUCGGUCCCUAUCUGCCGUGGGCGUUCGAAACUUGAGGGGGUUCAACUUUAGUACGAGAGGAUUUUGUUGGACGUAGCUCUGGUGUACCAGUUGUCGCGCUAGCGGCAUGGCUGGAUAGCUAACUACGGAACGGAUAAACGCUGAAAGCAUA